GCUUACGGCCAUACCACCCUGUCUGUGCCCGAUGUCGUCUGUUCUCAGAAGCUAAGCAGGGUCGGGCCUGGUUAGUAUUUGGAUGGGGGACCGCCUGGGAAUACCAGGUGCUGCAAGCU
rnacentral:rRNA from 1 species